rnacentral:lncRNA from 1 species
AGAACAAAGGAAGAAAAGAAAGAACAAGAACCCUAGAGUGAAAAUUCAAGAGAAAAUUAGUGGAUUUCAAGUAAUCAAGCAAUCAAAGGUAAAAUUCCUUGAUUUUGACUUGUGAUCUACCUUUCCCAUGCAUUCUUUUUCAUUUUCCAUGGUUGAGAAUCAAGUUUUCAUGAGGAUACCCUUGCUGGCCGAACAUGGGGGGGAGGAGUUUUGAAGCUUGAUUUGGUUAGAUUUUAAUGUAUUUUAGUGUUUUUAGUUAGUUAGUGAUGUGUAGCAUGAAAAGCCAACAAGAAAAAUUCACUUUCUCCCAUCACCCAUCAUUGGCCGAAUUUUUCAUGUAGAGUGUGGAUGGUGGAUUUGAUUUUAUUUCAAGUGAAUUGGUUAGGAAAUGAUGAAUUAUGGUGAGAAAAUCAAGUAGGAAAAAAAUCAUAGCAUUGAUGCACCCACCAUGUUCGAAAUUCCCAAGAGAAAAUAUGAAGAUGAUUUUGCUAAAAUUUAUGCUAUUUGACUUGUGUUUAAUUGUUUGGAGAAUUAGAAGAAAAAUGAAGUUAAUUGGAGUUAAAUUGGACAUAUUGGCCAAUUAAUCGAGUGAUAAAUCGAAUUAGGCCAAUACCGUUUUAAUUAGGUACACAAUUGAAUUUGUGUAGAACACCGUGUUUAGAUGAUAAUCCGAACAAUUUGCAUUCCAUUUCAUGCAUCCAUAUAGUUUUAUAACAGUUUAGCACCAAUGUGAUAAAUUGCUUGAUUGUGCAUUAUGUUUAGGUGGUGAAUCCUCCGAUAAGGGCAAAGAAAUUGUACCCAAGGAUCGAUAGUCGGAGUACUCUAAAAAUUCGACUUCCGAAAUAGUGAGUAACCUUAUCAUCAUCUUGAUUAUCUUAAGUGAAUUUUUAUUCGAUUUUGUGAAUUUUAUGGAAAAUGAGUUUAAAUGGUAAAUUUUUAGGUUUUGUAAACAAAAUGUGUUUAAAUGAAAUGAUUUUAUAAAUUGUCUUGAAAUUGAAUGAUGGCUUUGAAAAUAGAGUAAUUGGAGACCAAUUGAUGUGUUGUAAAUUUAUGGUUCUAAUUAAUUGGCUUAUGGCAAUUUGGCAUGAGUGGCUGGAUUGGUAAUUGUGCUAAACAUAUAUGAACUGUUGUUUUGCACUCGCAUACUACAUUAUUAGCUGGUUUCAAAUUUUUGGGGGAAGAAUGAUCAAAAUACCCCCGAGAGAUGAAAAUUAUUUUUUUAUUGUUUUGGUUUGGAAAUAGCUUAUAAUCUUUUAAAAUAUGAUGUUAGCAACUGUUGCUCGCAAGGGAGGUGAGAAAACUGAUAUUAAAGCCUUGCGAGGUCUCAGUUGGCAUUUCGAGUAUUGAAUGUCAUCGGGACAUCGCGACGGUUGUCACGGGCUUGAGGAGAGUACUGGGUCGUGACAGUCUGCCUCAUAUAUAGAAUUCCAAAUUCCUUUCUUCUACACUAGAGAGGUGAUGAUAUUUCCAUAAGGCAAGUUGAUCUUCUCCAAUCUGCAUGCACCCCUCAUUCUUUCAAUCAUGAACCUUCCCAGAUUAAGUGUAACACCACUAAAGGCAUGUUCCAUUAGCCAUAAAACUUGGAGGCUAAUGUAGCUUAAGCUUCCACUCCUCCCAUGAAGAUUAGCGGCAACAAAGUAAUGCAGAAUCCUUAUUUGAGGACUUGUGAUAAGCCCUGCAUUGCUCUUGGAGGAAUACUUUUCUUUCUUCCCUGUGAUCACUUCCCACGGGGAUGAGGGGUCAUACUUCUCAAGGUAUUGAAAUUCUCCCUCAUUACACUCUAUCUUAAGAAGUUCCCUUAAGUCUAUAGUAGUGACAGUAAAUUCCUUCCCAUUCAAAAACACAUUCAGACCCUCAUCAGAAUAAUCAUCUAGUUUCUCCAGUUCAUCCUUGUCAACAACAAUACUCGAAUAAAAUUCCUUAGCUAAGCUAGCACUAUAUGAUCGAUUUUUAAAUGUGCUGAACUCUUUCAAUUUUAGUUCUUCAAAAUAAUCUGAUAGACUUGUCAAAAUUUUAGGCAUUUCACUAAAGCUUUCCCAAUCAAUAUAUUUCCACAAGUGAUGGGUGCAUUCUCUAUUUUCCUAAAUCUCUCUUCAUGUGCUUUAUUUAUGAAUUUAGAAGAUGAAGAAGUACCUUUCUUGUGCAAUUUGCCCUUUUCUUCCUUCUUUUCAGAUUUUUGGCUCUUCGAUUUUCCAGAUUCUUUACUUACAGAUCCCGACUCAAUCAUUUUCUUUUUCUUCAGUAUUUCAACUUGCAGAUUUUCUUCCAUCAGCCGUUUGCCUUGCUUCUUUUCCAUAAGUUUUUGAGAUUUUCCUAUCUUCACCAUUUGGUUUGGAUGAUUUUGGAUUCAGAGUUUCGAAUGGUUGAGAGGUGAGGGUUUUAGUUUCAGGCUUCGAUUUUAGCAGAGAGAGAGAGUGUAAAGAAAAUGGGUUGAGAGCAAUUUAAUUCCAAAUGAAAAACUAUCUGACUCCCCCUAUUUAAGCGCAGUUUGUAACUCCCCUUUCAAAAUUCAAAUAUUACCUCCUAAUUUUUUUUUUGUUUGGGUAGUUUUUCUACUCUAUUUUAUUUCCUGGUACGCAAUUUUUUCUUAUUAUUUUAUUCCUUCUGCCUUUAACUUAAUUGAGUCUUAUUAUUUAAUGAAACGGAAUGUUCUUAGUUGACUAAGAUUUUCUGUAGUCGACUAAGUGCCUUCUGUUUUAUGUGAAUGAGUCAAAAAUUUUACCUACAACUCCUGCAUAUUAAUCAUUCCUAAAUUUCUUCUAAUCUCACAAAGUCUAUCUUCAUUUAGAGGUUUGGUAAAGAUGUCAACAAAUUGAUGUAAAGUAUUUACAAACUCAAUUUUAACAUCUCCCUCCACUACAUGGUCUCUAACAAAAUGGUGCCUAAUCUCAAUGUGUUUAGUUCUAGAAUGUUGCACAGGAUUUUUUGAUAUAUUGACUGCACUUAUUAUCACAAUAUAUUGGUAUAUUAUGCACUGUUAUUCCAUAGUCCUUUAAUUAUUAUUUAAUCCACAAAAUUUGUGCAGAGCAGCUGCUUAGAGAAAUAUAUUCUGCUUUAGCUGUGAUAAAGCUACUGAAUUUUGUUUCUUACUUGACCAAGAUAUUAGCAUACUUCCUAGAAAUUGGCAUGUUCCACUAGUGCUUUUUCUAUUGGUUUUGCUUCCUGUAAAGUCUGCAUCCGAAUAGCCUACAAGAUUCAAUAAUGAUUCUCUAGAGUACCAUAUUCCUAAGGUUUGUGUUUCUAAAAGGUAUCUAAAAAUUCUCUUAACAGCAGUUAAGUGUGAUUCUUUAGGCUGUGACUAAAAUCUAGCACACAAACACACACUAAACUGAAUAUCUAGUCUACUUGUUGUUAAGUAAAGUAAUGAUCCAAUCAUAGCUCUAUAGAGCUUUUGAUCAACAUUCCUUCAUUUUUCAUCUAAAUCAAGUCUAGUGGGUGGACUCAUUGGUGUAUAAAUUGAUUUUAGCUUUAGCAUAUCAAACUUUUUGAGCAUGUCUUGAGUGUAUCUUUCUUGGUUGAUGAAGAUUCUUUUAUUACUUUGUUUGAUUUGAAGGACAAGAAAGUACUUUAGCUCACCCAUCAUGCUCAUCUCAAAUUCACCCUGCAUUUCUUUAGCAAAGUUCUUGCAUAAAGCCUCAUUAGUUGCACCAAAUACAAUGUCAUCCACAUAAAUUUGAACAAUAAUUAAAUCCUUUAAGUAUCUUUUAAUAAACAAUGUAGUAUCAAUGCACCCCUAACAUAUCAUUUUUCAACCAGAAAUUUUGAAAGCCUCUCAUACCCAGCUCUAGGAGCUUGUUUCAAUCCACACAACGCUUUAUGAAGUUUGAAAACAUGAUAUGGUUUUUCAAAGUCUUCAAAUCCUGGUGGUUGUUCAACAUACACUUCCUCUUGAAUGAAUCCAUUUAAAAAUGCACUCUUUACAUCCAUUUGGUACAAUUUAAAAUUCAUAAAGCAUGCAAAAGCAAGCAACAACCUUAUGGCUUCAAUCCUAGCAACCGGUGUAAAGGUUUCAUCAUAGUCAAUUCCUUCCUCUUGGUUGUAUCCUUGGGCUACUAACCUAGCUUUAUUUCGAACUACAUUUCCUUGCUUAUCUACCUUAUUUCUAAACACCCAUUUUGUUCUAACAAUAGGGUGGUUUAAAGGCCUAGAGACUAAUGACCAUACAUGGUUUCUUUUAAAUUAAUCAAGUUCCUCUUGCAUGGCCAAUAUCUAACUUUCCUCUUUUUCUGCUUCCUCAGAUGUCUUAGGCUCAAUUUGAGAUAUGAAAGCUAAAAACUCAUAAGUCUCUCUUGUUGCUCUCUUAGUCUUAACUCCUUGUGAAAUGUUACCUAUGCUUUGUUCUUGUGGAUGAUCUUUUGCAUAUCCCCAAAUCCUUGGUAGAUCAUUAUGCUGAAUUUAUGUUCUUUGCAAAUUUUCUAGAGGUGGAGUUUCAUUUUCUCUUCUAGGUGUGUUUUCUUCAUUAUUCUUAUUGUUAUCUAAGCUCAUUUCUUCCAUUUGCUUUUCUAGGAUUUCUACAUCAUCAUCAUCAGUAUGAAUUUCCUUUUGUAAGGCAUUGGACUCAUCAAAAACUACAUGGAUUGAUUCUUCAACAGUUAAAGUUCUUUUGUUGAAAACUCUAAAAGCCUUUGAGUUUAAUGCAUAUCCUAAAAAUAUUACCUCAUCACUCUUUGCAUCAAACUAACCUAAGGAUUGUUUUCCAUUGUUUAACACAAAACAGUUACAACCAAAACUCUUAAGGUGUGAAAUAUUAGGUUUCCUACCUUUGUAAAGUUCAUAUAGAGUCUUUGAUAUCAUGGCUUUAAUUGAGACUCUAUUAAGUAUAUAUGUUGCUGUGUUCACUGCCUCAGCCCAAAAAUAUUUUGGUAGUUUAUUCUCACAUAGCAUAGUUCUAGCCAUUUCUUUUAAGGUUCGAUUUUUCCUCUUUGCAACUCCAUUUUGCUAGGGUGUUCUAGGUGCAGAAAAAUUAUGAUCCAACCCCUUUUCAUUGUAAAAUUUCUCAAAUUCAUCACUUUCAAAUUCUCCUCCAUGAUCACUCUUCAUACUAACUAUGGCUAGUCCUUUUUCAUUCUCAACUUUCCUAUAAUGACUUAUAAAUGCUGGUAGAGCAUCACUCUAAUGAGCAAGAAAAUAAACCCAAGUGUACCUUGAGUAGUCAUCAACUAUUACAAAGCCAUAAGAUUUUCCUCCUAGACUAGUUAUACUUAUUAGAUCAAAUAGAUCAAUGUGCAGCAAUUUAAGAGGUCUAGUUGUUGACACAAUCUUCUUAGUCUUAAAGGAUGUUCUAACUUAUUUUCCUAGUUGGCAAGCAUCACAAAUUUUAUCAUUUUUAAAUUUUAUAUCCGGCAGUCCAACAACUAGAUUUUUCUUGAUUAAUUUUGACAUAAUAUGCAUGCUUCCAUGUCCUAUUUUCCUAUGCCAUAGCCAGCUAUCAUUUUCAGUAUUUCUCCACUAAACACAUUUCACAAUUCAUUUCAAGAUCUUCAAGAAAUGCAACAUACAUAUUUUUUAAUCUUUUUCCUAUAAAUGAGACUUUAUUUGUGCUUAUAUCUAUCACUUCACACUUAUUUGAAUCAAAGCAUACUUUAGAUCCUUUAUCACACAAUUGACUAAUGCUCAAUAAAUUAUGUUUUAAGCCUUUAACCAAUAACACAUGACUGAUUUGAGUUUGAGAGUUCUUACGAACCGUUCCUAUACCAUGGAUUCUACCUUUUGAAUUAUCACCAAAGGAUACGGUUCCUCCAUUUCUUUUUGUCUAGCUUAGCAAAUAGCAUUUUAUCUCUUGUCAUGUGUCUUGAGCAGCCAUUGUGCAUAUACCAAGGCUGCUUCUUCUUGAGUUGAGUUCUUGAACAUGUCUCCUUUAAGUGCUACUCAACCUACAAAAUAGAAUUUCGGUUUUUCUUUAUAAGUACCCAUACUUUGAUGGGUCUUUGAUUGUUAGCAGCAACAUAGGAUCCUUUUGGAACCCAUAUUUUCCUUAUUUUCUGCACAUUUAUGUUUUUAUUAAAAUCAUAAGAUAAAUGGCCAAUUUUAUUGCAAAUAUAACACCUAGAAGAUGCAUUAGCAGAAUUUUUCUUGUAGUAUGCAUUUCUUUUUGACGUUUCAUUUUUCAAACUUAUAAGGGCUUUGUUUUCAUCAAGUGUUUUUUGCAAAGCUUUAAACUUAUUGUCCAGCUUAAAUUUUUAAACUUCAAAAUUUGUUUUUGAGUGUUCUAACUCAACUUGCAGAAAAUUUCUUUGCUCAAAAAUAGAAUUGAACUCUUAUCUUAUCUUUUCUAAAUCAUUUUCAAAGGAUGCAAUCUUUUUCUUUAAAAUCUUGUAUUUUGCAAAGAGUUUUUCAAAUUCAUCAAAAAGGCACUCAUACUCAUCUUGUAAAUCAUCAAUAGAAAUAUCACAGGGGGAUGAGGGUACCUCAGUUUCAUCAUCCUGUGCCAUCAAACACAGAUUUGUUCUUUCUUCACCUUUUUUUUCCUCACUUUCAGAACUUGAUGUGUCACUGUCUGACCAAGCAGCUGCCACCAUUGCCUUCUUUGAUUUCUUGUUUUUCUUUGGAGUCUCAUUUUUUAGCAAUGGGCAUUCGGACUUGAAAUGUCCAACCUUCUUGCGUUCGAAGCAGGUUAGCUCAUCCUUUUUGUUGGAGUCAUCUCUGUUUCUAGUUCUCCAUGAAGAACCUUAAUCUUUUUUAAACCCUCUUCUAGCUAAUCUCUGAUUUUUUUUGCCCAUAAGCUUUCUGAAUUUCCUUGCAACCAGUGCUAACUCUUCAUCAUCAUCACAGGAUAGCUCUUCCAGCUCUUUUUCAUGAAUGAUGGCUUUAAGUGCAAUGCUCUUUUUCUUUUCUUUUGCUUCCCUUCUAUCUUCUUCUUCUUCUUCCUUGAGUUCUAACUCAUGAGUGAGGAGAGAACCACAAAUCUCAUAUAGAGUAAUAACAUUUAGGUCCUUGGCUUCCCGGAUUGCAGUCACUUUAGGCUUCCAAUUUUUUGGUAGGCUUAUAAGAAAUCUUUUAACAAUCUCAUGCUUGGGUAUUGGUUUGCCUAAUUGACUUAAUUUGUUUGUGAAUCUAUCCAACAUGCUGGUGAUAUCUUCACUAGGCUCCAUCUUAAACAUUUCACAAUUAUGGGUCAAGAGGGCUAUCUUGGACUCCUUGACUUGAGAAGUCCCUUCACGGAUAAUUCUAAGUUUAUCCCACACUUGUUUAGCUAUUGUACAGCUUGAUACUUUGUUGAAUUCGGUAGGAGUCAAGGCACAAUGCAAUGUAUUAAUAGCCUUAAAAUUUAUUUGGACUUUCUUAGUUUCAGCCUCGGUCCAUUCAGAUAUUGGCUUAGGCAUCAUCUCAUUAGUUACUACAUUUAAGGUUGAGGGAAUAAAGGGUCUAUCAGUUAUGACGUCCCACAUUUCAUAAUCAAUUGAUCUAAUGUAUAUUGACAUCCUAAUGCUCCAAUAAGGACAGUUAGAGCCAUCAUACAGAGGUGGUAUGUUUAUUGAUUGUCUCUCAGCAACUAUGAAAUUUUGGAGAGCCAUUUAGAUCCUCCUAAAGGGUGUUAGACCUUAAGAACAAGGAACUUGCUUUGAUACAAUUUGUUGGUCCCAAGUAAAUGUGCUAGAGAAGGGGUGAAUACCACAAUUUGGCUCUUUCAAAAAUUGUCUCUAAGUGUAGACAAAUGCAAGACAAAAGAAAGACUGAAAAUUAAACAAAAAAAGAGUAAAUAAGACAGCAGAAUUUAGAGUGGUUCGGUCCAAGACCUACAUCCACUACCUUGAUUAUCCAACCAAGGAUUUUCCAACCAAUCCACUAAGAACCGGUGAAACUAACAAGCUUUCACCAAGCUUUACAAUGGCUUUUACUAGGCUUAGCUAAAACCUUUCACAAUAGUUUUUCCCAGGCUCAGCUAUAACCCAACAUCGAACUUUUCAAGGCUAAGUUAGAACAUUUAUCUAAACAAGAAAUCCUAGCUUGGUUGAACCCCUUAGAGUGACCCUUUCACUCUAAGAACAUAAAGAAAAAUGAAAUAAAAGUGUACCUAUGAUCACAAAGUUGAUCUAAGUGGUACAAGUUGAAGUGCAAAACACAACUACAAAGAUGGGCGUUGAGUGCAGUAAAGUGCAGAGAAAUUUUUUCUAGUUUUUGAACUCUUUUUGCUUGGAAGCCUUUUCUCUUUUAUUUCUAGCCGUUAGAACCCUUUUUUAUACUUUGAGAAACAACUCUGAUGGCAGUUUGAUAGUUUUCUAACCGUUGGAAACAGUUGAAAGUUGAAUCUAGUUGUUAAUCUGUCUUUUAGUGCAGAGUUUUAACUUGCAGGCAGAAUGCUCUUCGUCGACUAAGUCGUCUUUGUCUUCUGUUCCCAGUUUCUGAUAGUUCUAGUAAUGUGCACUUAGUCAACUAACUCAUUCCUUGGUUGACUAAGUUGGUUCUGUUUCUCAAUACUCUUCAGCCCGCCAACUUUUAAUUUAAAUCUUAGCUGACUAACUUUUCAUUAAUCGACUAAGGGGCUUUAAUCAUGUUGAUCAAUUGUGACUUCCUUAUUCCUAUGCUCUUUGAUAUAUGCGCUUAAAUGAUUGAUUACAUAUUUGCAUAUAAUUUUUGUCCUACACACUUAAGUAGAAAUAUUAGACACAAAUGAAUGGGAAUGUUUUAUUAUCAUAAAAAACUAAUGAAGCCAAUAGACAUUAAUAAAUCUCAUAAGUUUUUCUUCAAACUAAUGUAAAUAGCAUUAUUUAAAACCAUUUCUUACAAGUAUAAUAGAAGCCAAAGUUUGCAUAAACAUUUAAGAUGGCAAUGAGAGUUAUAAACAUUUGAAAACAUUGUAAAAACGGAGUGAAAACAUUAUUCUGUAACUGAAGUAUCGAUACAUCCUUGUGAAGUAUUGAUACUUUUUACACAGAAUGCUUUCUGGACUAUAUGUAUUGAUGCAUUUGGAAAAGUAUCACUACUUUCUACACAAAAUACUUCGUGGGACAUUCUAUGUUCUAUGUAUCAAUACUUACUCUUCAAGUAUUAGUACUUCAUUCAUAAAACUUAGUCUACUAUAACAUUUUUUGCAUUUUCUAACUCUAUAAGUCAUCCUAACCAUAGGAACAAUCAUAUAAACUAUGAUUUAAUUGACUAAGCUACACUCCAUCAAGUUCUCAACUAUACCAUGUCAUUUCCUCAUUUAUAACUUGUAUAGAAUCUUCUUACAUUCUAUUUUCUAUAAUCAUUCUAAUAAUCAACUAGAAUUCAACUAUCUGUGAGUGGUAGCCUGCCCUAAGUCAAGGUGGAAAUGGUUUAAUCCCCACUAUUAGAUUCCUUUGGAGUGGUAAUCAGUCCCGACUCCCAAUGACUAGGGUUUAAUCCCCACUAACUUAGAUUACUAAGUGCAUUUAGGAGUGGCAUCUCACGUAGUUUGCCCCAACUCAAGGCAGAUAGUGGUAAAAAUCCCCAUUAUCUUGGAUUACUCCUAAACAUAUAGGAUCUAUCAUAUCCAUAACUUAUAACAUCAUCAUUUCAUAGUCAUACUUCUUUGUGGCUCAUGCGUCAUGCUAAUAAGGUAUGUGGAACUAUAUUAGAUACAAAUCAAAAUUAACGUACAUAUAUUUAUAUACACAUCUCAUAAAUGUUUCAUAGCCUCAAGGGUGGCAAUGUCUACACCCACCUAAACAUGUCAUCUAGCAUACAUGCAUUUCAUAUUCAUCAUAUCAACUUGAACUCAUUUUGAAGGACAAUCAAAUAAAGGGCUUGUCCCCCCUUAUUGAAAGCUAAUACACAGUAGAAUAUUUACAUAUAUAGUAGAUUCAAAAACAUUUUUGAAAUUGUUUGGGUUUAAAACAUUUGAGUAGUCAUUAUAAAGGUAAUCUUUAAUCAUGCAUGAUAAAGACUUCAAUAAAUAAUGUUUUACUUUACAUAUAUAAUAUACUUAAAAAAGGUGGAUCCACAUACCUUUAGAAGACUCGACCUUUACCAAUGAGCAAGACUUUACUUCAGUGAAUUCCUUAGAGUUUUGACAACCCUAAGUGUUCAACAAUCAUUGUAAGCAUUACUUAAACUAGAAUCUUGUGGUAAUCAUCAAUACGAAUUUCGAAACUUGUCAAGUUCAAGCAGUACUAAAUUUCUAGCUUUAAAUAUACUAUUUUUCAUUUAUCUAAUGGUAAAUAUAGUUAAAUCUUUAAGUAUUCCUUACCUUGGUGAGCUACAAAGGAUAGAAGUCUCUAGAAACCUUAGCUUCUUUGAAUAACCACGAAAUCUAUUGGAUUACUUAAAAUCAGUAAUGGAAAUCUAAGUUUUGAAAGAUUAAAAGUCAGAAACUUUAACUUUGAUAGUUAGAAAAACACAAACCAAACUUUAAAUCUUCGAAAAUGAGGUUUUUUAUCGAAAAAAGAGUUUGAAAAUGCUAAAAUUUGAGAGCAAAUGUUGAAAAAGUGGUUGGAGUUUGAAAGAAUGAAAAAAAAACCUAAAAUGGAAUUUUUUAGGUGGAAAAUACAUUUUUACCCUUUUUUAUAUUUUAGAAAUUGACGACAAGUAUCAAUACAUUUGGGAAAAUAUUGAUACUUGAGUUUCUGGGUUUAAUGUAUCAAUACAUGUUCAUUAUGUAUCAAUACUUGUUCAUCUAAAUUCUUUUUGAAAGCUUUUUAGGUAGAAUGUAUCGAUACUUUUGCUCUAGAAUGUAAAUUUUUGCUUUCAAAACACUUCUUUAUGGCCUAUUUACAACUCUUAAGUACUUUUUCUCUUAAAAUUUGAGAUUUAGGCUUAAAACAUGUUUAAAUUUGCUCACCCAAUAAGAUUUACUUAACUAAUCUAGACCCUAGGUUGAGUGGUUUCACAUUCUCUCCCCUUGGAAAAAUUUAUCCUCGAAUUUAAAUAUGUACUAACCUUCACUAAAUAAGCUUGGGAUUUUUGCUCUCAUGUUGUCCUCGACUUCCCAAGUCACUUUUUCACUCAAGUGAUUGCACCAUUGCACCUUGACCAAGGCAAUCUCUUUAAAGUGUACUUUCUUCACAUGUUUAUCCAAUAUUUCAAUUAGUUCUUCCUAGUAGCUCAAAUCAUCUCUCAUUUAUAAAGUCUCAUGCUGGAUCACAAGAGAUAGUUCAGGAUUGUACUUUUGAAGUACUGAAAUGUGCACUAUUGAGUGAAUGCUAGAAAGAUCUAGUAGAAGUGUUAGAUGAUAUGCCAUUGUCCCAACUCUCUUAAGGAUCUCAAAUGGUCGUAUAUACCUUGGGCUCAACUUGCCUUUCUUGCUAAACCUCAUAAUGCCUUUCUUUGACGAAACCCUCAAAAACACAUGAUCACCAACAUUAAGUUCCAAGUCUUUAUGUUUGUGGUUAACAUAUGACUUCUGACGACUUUGUGCUAUCAACAUCUUCUCUCUAAUCAACUGAAUCUUGUUAGUGGUCUCUUGAACCAUCUCUGGUCUAAAAAACUUCCACUUACCAACCUUAAACCAACAAAUGGGCGAUCUGCACUUUUUCCCAUAUAAAGCCUCAUAAGGUGUCAUUUGAAUGCUAGACUAAAAGUUGUUGUAGGAAAACUCUAUCAAAGGUAAGUGUCGAUCCCAAGUGACUCUAAAGUGUACGACACAAGCUCAUAACAUAUCCUCUAAUGUCUAACUAGUCCCCUUGGAUUGCCCAUUCAUUUAUUUAACAGUAUGGUGACAAUGACUCUAUGCAAUCGCACUAUCUCAUCCAUAUAUAAUCCAGCAUACUAUGCCACUCCAUAAGUAGUCCUUACUAGCAAAAAAUGAGUGGACUUAAUCAGUCUAUCAACGAUUACCCAAAUAGAAUCACACACCUUGCUAGUUCGAGGAAGCUCCAUCACAAAAUCCAUAGAAAUAUGCUUUCAUUUCCAUUCGAGAAUGGGUAAAGGCUGUCAUAAUCUAACGUGCCUUUACUAUUCUACCUCAACUUGCUAACACACUAAGUACUUAGCUACCUCAUUUGCUAUGUCGUUUUUAAACUUUCCCACCAAUGUAACUCCCUCAAAUCACGAUACAUCUUAAUGGUCCUUAGGUGAACCACAUAGGCUACCACAUACGUGUGAGACCUCAACCCCUAUAAGCUCAUAACGAGGCAUAGGCGUAAUAACCUGGCUAGGGGUAGUUUCGUCAUUUCCUCUAAAAAGCUCUCAAAAGAAGGUUUUAUGAUAUUUUAAGGUCUAAAUAGGCAUAAGACCGAAUAAAUAAUGUGUAAUGAUGAAAACACGAAGAAAACUAGAAGUUUCAAUAAUUUUUGCCAUAAGGGCAAAAUCAUCAUUUUUCACCUUGAGUCAAAAUUUUUAAGUUUCAUAAACCCGAGCGUGUCUAGACCAUUAUGGACUUGUUUUAGUAUCAAAAGAGUAAAAAGAUUGCACCAAGGAUUGAAGGAGAACAAGUUAAUGUGCUAAGGGCAUUUUUGUAAUUUCAAGUGGAAUGGAUAAGCAUGGGCUAUAAAUAUUUUCUUCCAACAACUUCUUCUUCCAUUUUCCAGCAGCUUCUUCUUCUGCUUCUUCCUUCUUCUCUUUCACGUUACUUCCAACCUCCAUGGAAGCAUGGUAUGAGAACUUCAUAACUUUCUCUCUCUAGCUCUAAAUUUCAUGCUUUUGCCCACUCUUUCAUACGGUAUUUCAUGCUUUUCCACUUGUACACCUUAAAACCAUUAAAAAAAGUCUUUGUUCAGCACUUUCUCUCACUAGUUGAAAGUUUUAGAGAGAGAAAGAGGGAGCUUCCAUAGUAGCUUGACAAUUUUUGGAAAGAAUUUCAAUUAUAAAGCUACUAAGGUGAGUAGUGAACUAUAGUUGAUUUUUAAGUGUUGAGAAUGUCUAGUAAUUAGAAUUGUGAGAGUUUAUUUGUUGGGAUUAUUAGUCAUUUUAGUGUGACUAGAGAAUUGCAAACAAUAGCCAUUUAAUGGUGGUUGGAAACUAGUUAGGAAUGACUAGUAGAACCCAAUUUAGAAAAUAGUUUUGGAGUGAUAUUAAUGUAAAUUGGAUUGGUUGUGAUGUUGUGUGUGUAUAGGUUCCAACAAGGCCUCACAUGUCCAUUUGGAGUAUCAGAUGAGGUUAGAAUCAAGCAAAAGAAAUAACAAGACCGG